rnacentral:rRNA from 1 species
GUCAGGAUGAACGCUGGCGGCGUGCCUAAUACAUGCAAGUCGAACGAGGGUGCUUGCACCCUAGUGGCGAACGGGUGAGGUAACACGUAGGUAACCUGCCCUUAAGCUUGGGAUACCCAGAGGAAACUUUGGCUAAUACCGGAUAACAACAGAUGAGGCAUCUCAACUGUUUGAAAGGCCCUGCAAGGGGUCACUUAAGGAUGGACCUGCGGCGCAUUAGCUAGUUGGUGAGAUAACAGCCCACCAAGGCGAGGAUGCGUAGCCGAACUGAGAGGUUGAUCGGCCACAUUGGAACUGAGACACGGUCCAAACUCCUACGGGAGGCAGCAGUAAGGAGUUUUCGGCAAUGGGGGAAACCCUGACCGAGCAACGCCGCGUGAGUGAUGACGGGCCCCUAUGGGGUUGUAAAGCUCUUUUAUUAGAGACGAAUGGUGGACUUAGGAAAUGAAGCCCACUUGACUGUAUCUUUUGAAUAAGCCACGGCUAACUACGUGCCAGCAGCAGC